AUGGCUGACGCGGGUCAAAGUGUAGUAUCUGUUCUUAUCAGCCUAAUAUCUGAUACGGGUUGUAUUUGAAACCAAGAUAUUAAACUUAUUUUUGCAAGUAGGCUCCUUUUGCAAGGAGUGCUUGAAGCCUGCUUCACCUCUUCUUCGGGUCGGCCCGGUAUUGCACUAUCUCCGACAUCGGCCUACGCUUU